rnacentral:tRNA from 1 species
GCCUGGGUGGCUCAGUCGGUUAAGUGUCUGACUUUGGCUCAGGUCAUGAUCUUGCAAUUCGUGGGUUCAAACCCCGUAUUGGGCU